rnacentral:rRNA from 1 species
CCUACGGGCGGCAGCAGUGGGGAAUUUUGCACAAUGGGGGAAACCCUGAUGCAGCGACGCCGCGUGAGUGAAGAAGUAAUUCGUUAUGUAAAGCUCUAUCAGCAGGGAAGUAAAUGACGGUACCUGAGUAAGAAGCCCCGGCUAACUACGUGCCAGCAGCCGCGGUAAGACGUAGGGGGCAAGCGUUAUCCGGAUUUACUGGGUGUAAAGGGAGCGUAGACGGCAGUGCAAGUCUGGAGUGAAAGGCGGGGGCUCAACCCCCGGACUGCUCUGGAAACUGUACGGCUGGAGUGCAGGAGAGGUAAGUGGAAUUCGUGGUGUAGCGGUGAAAUGCGUAGAUAUUAGGAAGAACCCCAGUGGCGAAGGCGGCUUACUGGACUGUAACUGACGUUGAGGCUCGAAAGCGUGGGGAGCAAACAGGAUUAGAUACCCUUGUAGUC